CUGCUUGUCACUUAAAAAAAAAAUGUUUGACUGGAAAUGUUUAUGUUUGCAGAGAGGCCAAAGAGAACGAGGAGAGAAAUUGGUUCACGGAGAGUGCUUCUCUCUUUUCGUAACGGUGCUUGUCAAGGGAGAGCAGUCGAGGUGUCCAACAACCAGCACAAGGGGAAGUUGGAGCACGUGCCUAAACACCUUGUCUAGUGACAGAAAUAUGAGGGCGACCGCAGUGGCCAAUAAAUCUGGAGUCAUGUGACCAACAGUCCAAAAGACAUCAGCACCUGAAGUCAAAGGCAUUGAUAGAACGUCCAUUCAGCCAUAUGAGAGAAGGGUCGCCGGCACUACUACUACAACCACCACCAUCAUAGGGGCACCACGGCCGGGUGUUUACCCUUCCUGCCAAACCCACGCGGCCACGCUGGCGUGGGCCACGUGACACACUGGCAUCCAUGCGACAGUGCGAGCUACACCCGGACACAGGACUAGCAGGUUCCCACGCUACCCGGAUCCCUAUGCCCCUGCCCUUUUCCCCUCCACCCCCUACUCCUACCCUCUACCCCGACAUUCCUGUGGCAGCGAUACCCCACCUGUCCGAUUACAACAGUUCACCGUUACGCACGUUUACGAUGCCAACACGAUCGACUAGCUCGCGAACCUGACUGCUCCACCCCGUCCCCACCCCAGCCCACACCACAAUCCUACCUCUUUAUCCUCCUUGGGACCUCCCGGUUAUACAGUUAUAACUCACCGUUAUAAGGUGCUGCUUGCGAAAUCUUCAGGGACCAAAACAAAAUUCCUUUCUCCCCCCACCCUCCACUUCUCUGUCCCCCUCGAUCACGCGAGAAGCACGUGUCUAACGGGACCCGAUGGUAGGGUUUCAUGACCACCCCUUCCCACCCCACCGACACACUUCCACUCCUCCCUUCUCCCCUAACUCAAAAACAAAGCAAAACACAAAAACAAACAAAAUUGUUUUGCCCUCUCUCUCGCAAACGCCUUUAGGUAAAAGUGACCCUCGUUGUAUUCCACGCUGACUCAUCCUAUUCAUUGUGUAUGUGCACGCGCGUGCGAGCUUAUAAGA